CCUACGGGUGGCAGCAGUGAGGAAUAUUGGUCAAUGGGCGAGAGCCUGAACCAGCCAAGUCGCGUGAAGGAUGACGGCCCUACGGGUUGUAAACUUCUUUUGUCAGGGAGCAAUUGGGUCCACGCGUGGGCUUAGCGAGAGUACCUGAAGAAAAAGAAUCGGCUAACUCCGUGCCAGCAGCCGCGGUAAUACGGAGGAUGCGAGCGUUAUCCGGAUUUACUGGGUGUAAAGGGAGCGUAGACGGCAGCGCAAGUCUGGAGUGAAAUCCCAUGGCUUAACCAUGGAACUGCUUUGGAAACUGUGCAGCUGGAGUGCAGGAGAGGUAAGCGGAAUUCCUAGUGUAGCGGUGAAAUGCGUAGAUAUUAGGAGGAACACCAGUGGCGAAGGCGGCUUACUGGACUGUAACUGACGUUGAGGCUCGAAAGCGUGGGGAGCAAACAGGAUUAGAUACCCGAGUAGUC
rnacentral:rRNA from 1 species